rnacentral:rRNA from 1 species
AGUGAACGCUGGCGGUAGGCCUAACACAUGCAAGUCGAACGGCAGCACAGUAAGAGCUUGCUCUUACGGGUGGCGAGUGGCGGACGGGUGAGGAAUACAUCGGAAUCUACUUUUUCGUGGGGGAUAACGUAGGGAAACUUACGCUAAUACCGCAUACGACCUACGGGUGAAAGCAGGGGAUCUUCGGACCUUGCGCGAUUGAAUGAGCCGAUGUCGGAUUAGCUAGUUGGCGGGGUAAAGGCCCACCAAGGCGACGAUCCGUAGCUGGUCUGAGAGGAUGAUAAGCCAAACUGGAACUGGGACACGGUCAAGACUCCUACGGGAGGCAGAAGUGGGGAAAAUUGGACAAUGGGCGCAAGCCUGAUCAAGCCAUACCGCGUGGGUGAAGAAGGCCUUCGGGUUGUAAAGCCCUUUUGUUGGGAAAGAAAAGAAGAAGGUUAAUACCCGGCUGUUCUGACGGAACCAAAAGAAUAAGAACCGGCUAACUUCGUG